GACGAACGCUGGCGGCGUGCUUAACACAUGCAAGUGGAGCGACGAACCAGGGCUUGCCCUGGGGCAGAGCCGCGAACGGGUGUGUAACACGUGGAUAACGUACCCCGAUAACAGGGACAACCCGAGGAAACUCGGGCUAAUAACGGAAGUGCUUACUUCACACCAGUGGAGCAAGUAAAGGAAGCUUCGGCCUCCGUAUCGGGAGCGGUCCGCGGCCCAUUAGCUAGUUGGUGAGGUAAAGGCUCACCAAGGCAACGAGGGGUAGCUGGUCUGAGAGGACGAUCAGCCACACUGGGACUGAGACACGGCCCAGACUCCUACGGGAGGCAGCAGUGGGGAAUCUUGCGCAAUGCGCGAAAGCGUGACGCAGCAACGCCGCGUGGGGGAAGAAGGUUUUCGGAUUGUAAACCCCUUUCAGGAAGGACGAAGGUUCGGCAGUUAAUAGCUGACCGGACUGACGGUACUUCCACAAGAAGGUCCGGCUAACUACGUGCCAGCAGCCGCCGUAACAC
rnacentral:rRNA from 1 species